rnacentral:rRNA from 1 species
UUAAGCGACUAAGCGUACACGGUGGAUGCCCUGGCAGUCAGAGGCGAUGAAGGACGUGCUAAUCUGCGAAAAGCGUCGGUAAGGUGAUAUGAACCGUUAUAACCGGCGAUGUCCGAAUGGGGAAACCCAGUGCAAUUCGUUGCACUAUCGUUAACUGAAUACAUAGGUUAACGAGGCGAACCGGGGGAACUGAAACAUCUAAGUACCCCGAGGAAAAGAAAUCAACCGAGAUUCCCCCAGUAGCGGCGAGCGAACGGGGAGCAGCCCAGAGUCUGAAUCAGCUUGUGUGUUAGUGGAACGGUCUGGAAAGUCCGACGGUACAGGGUGAUAGUCCCGUACACCAAAAUGCACAGGUUGUGAACUCGAAGAGUAGGGCGGGACACGUGGUAUCCUGUCUGAAUAUGGGGGGACCAUCCUCCAAGGCUAAAUACUCCUGACUGACCGAUAGUGAACCAGUACCGUGAGGGAAAGGCGAAAAGAACCCCGGCGAGGGGAGUGAAAAAGAACCUGAAACCGUGUACGUACAAGCAGUGGGAGCACCUUCGGGUGUGACUGCGUACCUUUUGUAUAAUGGGUCAGCGACUUAUAUUCUGUAGCAAGGUUAACCGUAUAGGGGAGCCGCAGGGAAACCGAGUCUUAACUGGGCGUUAAGUUGCAGGGUAUAGACCCGAAACCCGGUGAUCUAGCCAUGGGCAGGUUGAAGGUUGGGUAACACUAACUGGAGGACCGAACCGACUAAUGUUGAAAAAUUAGCGGAUGACUUGUGGCUGGGGGUGAAAGGCCAAUCAAACCGGGAGAUAGCUGGUUCUCCCCGAAAGCUAUUUAGGUAGCGCCUCGUGAACUCAUCUUCGGGGGUAGAGCACUGUUUCGGCUAGGGGGUCAUCCCGACUUACCAACCCGAUGCAAACUACGAAUACCGAAGAAUGUUAUCACGGGAGACACACGGCGGGUGCUAACGUCCGUCGUGAAGAGGGAAACAACCCAGACCGCCAGCUAAGGUCCCAAAGUCAUGGUUAAGUGGGAAACGAUGUGGGAAGGCACAGACAGCCAGGAUGUUGGCUUAGAAGCAGCCAUCAUUUAAAGAAAGCGUAAUAGCUCACUGGUCGAGUCGGCCUGCGCGGAAGAUGUAACGGGGCUAAACCAUGCACCGAAGCUGCGGCAGCGACACUAUGUGUUGUUGGGUAGGGGAGCGUUCUGUAAGCCUGCGAAGGUGACCUGUGAGGGUUGCUGGAGGUAUCAGAAGUGCGAAUGCUGACAUAAGUAACGAUAAAGCGGGUGAAAAGCCCGCUCGCCGGAAGACCAAGGGUUCCUGUCCAACGUUAAUCGGGGCAGGGUGAGUCGACCCCUAAGGCGAGGCCGAAAGGCGUAGUCGAUGGGAAACAGGUUAAUAUUCCUGUACUUGGUGUUACUGCGAAGGGGGGACGGAGAAGGCUAUGUUAGCCGGGCGACGGUUGUCCCGGUUUAAGCAUGUAGGCUGAUUGUCCAGGCAAAUCCGGAUAAUCAAGGCUGAGGUGUGAUGACGAGGCACUACGGUGCUGAAGUAACAAAUGCCCUGCUUCCAGGAAAAGCCUCUAAGCAUCAGGUAACAUUAAAUCGUACCCCAAACCGACACAGGUGGUCAGGUAGAGAAUACCAAGGCGCUUGAGAGAACUCGGGUGAAGGAACUAGGCAAAAUGGUGCCGUAACUUCGGGAGAAGGCACGCUGGUGUGUAGGUGAAGCCCCUGCGGGUGGAGCUGAGACCAGUCGAAGAUACCAGCUGGCUGCAACUGUUUAUUAAAAACACAGCACUGUGCAAACACGAAAGUGGACGUAUACGGUGUGACGCCUGCCCGGUGCCGGAAGGUUAAUUGAUGGGGUUAUCCGUAAGGAGAAGCUCUUGAUCGAAGCCCCGGUAAACGGCGGCCGUAACUAUAACGGUCCUAAGGUAGCGAAAUUCCUUGUCGGGUAAGUUCCGACCUGCACGAAUGGCGUAAUGAUGGCCAGGCUGUCUCCACCCGAGACUCAGUGAAAUUGAACUCGCUGUGAAGAUGCAGUGUACCCGCGGCAAGACGGAAAGACCCCGUGAACCUUUACUAUAGCUUGACACUGAACAUUGAGCCUUGAUGUGUAGGAUAGGUGGGAGGCUUUGAAGCGUGGACGCCAGUCUGCGUGGAGCCAACCUUGAAAUACCACCCUUUAAUGUUUGAUGUUCUAACGUUGGCCCCUUACCGGGGUUGCGGACAGUGUCUGGUGGGUAGUUUGACUGGGGCGGUCUCCUCCCAAAGCGUAACGGAGGAGCACGAAGGUUAGCUAAUCCUGGUCGGACAUCAGGAGGUUAGUGCAAUGGCAUAAGCUAGCUUGACUGCGAGCGUGACGGCGCGAGCAGGUGCGAAAGCAGGUCAUAGUGAUCCGGUGGUUCUGAAUGGAAGGGCCAUCGCUCAACGGAUAAAAGGUACUCCGGGGAUAACAGGCUGAUACCGCCCAAGAGUUCAUAUCGACGGCGGUGUUUGGCACCUCGAUGUCGGCUCAUCACAUCCUGGGGCUGAAGUAGGUCCCAAGGGUAUGGCUGUUCGCCAUUUAAAGUGGUACGCGAGCUGGGUUUAGAACGUCGUGAGACAGUUCGGUCCCUAUCUGCCGUGGGCGCUGGAGAAUUGAGGGGGGCUGCUCCUAGUACGAGAGGACCGGAGUGGACGCAUCACUGGUGUUCGGGUUGUCAUGCCAAUGGCACUGCCCGGUAGCUAAAUGCGGAAGAGAUAAGUGCUGAAAGCAUCUAAGCACGAAACUUGCCCCGAGAUGAGUUCUCCCUGAGACUAUAAGUCUCCUGAAGGAACGUUAAAGACGAUGACGUUGAUAGGCCGGGUGUGUAAGCGCAGCGAUGCGUUGAGCUAACCGGUACUAAUGAACCGUGAGGCUUAACCUU